AAAAAAUACAUUUUUCAGUUUUAGAUACAACGUUUGACUUAUCAUCUUAUUUUAAAAAAAUUAUUAUUAUUAUUAUUAUUAUUAUUAUUUGAUGAUAAAAUAUGAAUAGUACUUUAUAUGUAAUAUGUUUUUAAAUUUUUCAAAAAAAAUUCAAAUAAGAUGGACGGUCAAAGUUGUGCAUGAAAAAAUAAUGGUUGCACUUAAA
rnacentral:pre_miRNA from 1 species